rnacentral:rRNA from 1 species
CCUACGGGAGGCUGCAGUGAGGAAUAUUGGUCAAUGGACGAGAGUCUGAACCAGCCAAGUAGCGUGAAGGAUGACUGCCCUAUGGGUUGUAAACUUCUUUUAUAAAGGAAUAAAACGAGGCACGUGUGCCUUUUUGCAUGUACUUUAUGAAUAAGGAUCGGCUAACUCCGUGCCAGCAGCCGCGGUAAUACGGAGGAUCCGAGCGUUAUCCGGAUUUAUUGGGUUUAAAGGGAGCGUAGAUGGGUUGUUAAGUCAGUUGUGAAAGGUUGGGGCUCAACCGUAAAAUUGCAAUUGAUACUGGCAGUCUUGAGUACAGUUGAGGUAGGCGGAAUGCGGGGUGUAGCGGUGAAAUGCUUAGAUAUCACGAAGAACCCCGAUUGCGAAGGCAGCUUGCUAAACUGUGACUGACAUUGAUGCUCGAAAGUGUGGGUAUCAAACAGGAUUAGAUACCCUUGUAGUC